rnacentral:rRNA from 1 species
UACAGAGGGGGCAAGCGUUGUUCGGAAUUACUGGGCGUAAAGGGCGCGUAGGCGGCCUGCUAAGUCGAACGUGAAAUCCCUGGGCUCAACCCAGGAACUGCGUCCGAUACUGGUUGGCUUGAAUCCGGGAGAGGGACGUGGAAUUCCAGGUGUAGCGGUGAAAUGCGUAGAGAUGUGGAGGAACACCAGUGGCGAAGGCGACUCUUUGGCCUGUAACUGACGCUGAGGCGCGAAAGCGUGGGGAGCAAACAGG